rnacentral:rRNA from 1 species
CGUAGGGUGCGAGCGUUAAUCGGAAUUACUGGGCGUAAAGCGUGCGCAGGCGGUUAUAUAAGACAGAUGUGAAAUCCCCGGGCUCAACCUGGGAACUGCAUUUGUGACUGUAUAGCUAGAGUACGGCAGAGGGGGAUGGAAUUCCGCGUGUAGCAGUGGAAUGCGUAGAUAUGCGGAGGAACACCGAUGGCGAAGGCAAUCCCCUGGGCCUGUACUGACGCUCAUGCACGAAAGCGUGGGGAGCAAACAGGAUUAGAUACCCUGGUAGUCCACGCCCUAAACGAUGUCAACUGGUUGUUGGGUCUUCACUGACUCAGUAACGAAGCUAACGCGUGAAGUUGACCGCCUGGGGAGUACGGCCGCAAGGUUG